AACAAAAACUACUUGAGGUACUCAGAAAUAAAAAUCGGAUAACUAUUGAUCUGGGAAUAUAUUUGACCAGCUAUAACAUAAGAGCUUUGUCCAGCCUAAAUAUUAUAUCUGGUCGAUAUACUCUGUUACAUGAACAAUAUAUUCUAUAACCAGGCUCAAUAUUUUGUAGUAUUUGCUGGACUAAGUAAGAAUUCACCAUUUCCUUAAAACAUGAAAGAUAUUUGCCUUGAUGCGACACAGUAUAAGAACGAUACCCUUUUGAUUGGUUACGAAAUAAUUAUUUCUAAUAUAUUUACACAAUAUGAACUUGAAUAAGAUGGAUUAAUAUCGAUAUGAGUA